rnacentral:rRNA from 1 species
AUUGAACGCUGGCGGCAUGCCUUACACAUGCAAGUCGAACGGCAGCGGACCUUCGGGUGCCGGCGAGUGGCGAACGGGUGAGUAAUAUAUCGGAACGUACCUUUCAGUGGGGGAUAACGUAGCGAAAGUUACGCUAAUACCGCAUAUUCUGUGAGCAGGAAAGCAGGGGAUCGCAAGACCUUGCGCUGAUUGAGCGGCCGAUAUCAGAUUAGCUAGUUGGUGAGGUAAAGGCUCACCAAGGCGACGAUCUGUAGCGGGUCUGAGAGGAUGAUCCGCCACACUGGAACUGAGACACGGUCCAGACUCCUACGGGAGGCAGCAGUGGGGAAUUUUGGACAAUGGGCGCAAGCCUGAU